ACUCUCUUUUCCUCCAUUGUUGUCCAUUGAUGAAAGCUUAGAGAAGCUUCAUCAAACACUACUAUGAAAUAAUCCACCAUCCAAUCCAAUCAAAUACUAGCAUAUCUCAUCAAAUUCAAGAAGCUAGAGCUAAGAUCAAAGUUGGAGCAAAGUCUUGAUCACCUUUUAAAUCCCUGAGUCCUUUUGGGAAGUAACGACUUGAGGGAGAGAGUGACGAUACUCAUUGAUACAGAGACACAACGAGGUUGAGCUGAUGUGGUGAUGGUGCUGCAAUGAGCGGAGUCUCCAGGGUUGUUAAUAAAUAGUUAACCUGUCUAGAAUAUGUCUUCAUACAUAUGUCUAGCUACUUUCCGCUGCAAGAUGUUGUUGAUGUUAUAGUAUGUUAUGUCAUACUUUGAGUCUUAAGA